AGUGAAAAUCUGCUGAUCCGCGAGACGAUAUACCUAUUCGCACUUGGUCGUUCGCUUUUGAGCGUAUUAUAUAGGCAGCGUUAAAGGACGUCGCGAUUGAAGACCCGGCGAUCAAUCUGUCCAUGGUAUCAUCGUGGCUCACCAAUUCGCGUUGGCCGUAUAACGAGGAGAUUACGUAGACAUACGUGUCUAUGGCAAAGAAAGGUGUUAUUGGAACAAUUUUGAGGUUAGCAUUGACGGAAGUGAACGUAGCCGUAUCAAUUACCGAAUAUUCGAUUUUUCGGGUUAUUUUUGGCGGGGUCGCACGACAGAGUUAAUAAAUGAACACGUGGUACGCGCCUGUCGUAUUUUUGUUUUAUAUGUAGCGCGUGGCGAGUAUUGAUAAAAAAGCCAUAUCCGUGAUAAAUUGAAGCGCUUUUUGAUUUGCAAAAACUCGUUAUCUUCGAAAUACCCAAUAUUUUUUUUAUAACUACGCCUAUAAAUCCUGAAAAUACGCAUUGAGUAAAUAAAGCUAAUCCACUAACGAACGGAUAUUCGCGCUCCGCUAUUUCUGGCCUUUGACUUCUGCGUUUAUCAGAAUCUAUAUUAGUAUCGAGCGAUUAUUUAUAAUAAAAUCUAAUUUCAACAUA